UACGGAGGGGGCUAGCGUUGUUCGGAAUUACUGGGCGUAAAGCGUGCGUAGGCGGUCCGCGAAGUCUGAUGUGAAAGCCCCGGGCUCAACCUGGGAACUGCAUUGGAAACUAACGGGCUCGAGUGUGGCAGAGGGGGGUGGAAUUCCACGUGUAGCAGUGAAAUGCGUAGAGAUGUGGAGGAACACCGAUGGCGAAGGCAGCCCCCUGGGCUAACACUGACGCUCGAGGCACGAAAGCGUGGGGAGCAAACAGG
rnacentral:rRNA from 1 species